UCAAGUAUACUCUAACUUAAACGUUAGAAUGGUCUACUGGGAUCUUUCGUCGUCAAUCUAAUCCUCUGUUCAGCUAUAUUUUAGGACAAUCUCAUCCUCGUUCAUCGGCAAUGUUCGGAGAAAGUGCAAAUUUGACCGUUGACUUAGACUAUCCACCUUAUUGAGGCGGUUCCCUGCUAUCGGAGAAUGGAAGGUUCUUGAAUCGCAACCGAUAGACGACAACUUGGAUCAACGAAAUAAAGACAAAAGUUAAAUUUUUUCCAACUCCCCGCCACUGUGCACGGCCCAGGCCGCCGCCGGCGCUGCGGCCGUCUAUGGCCCUCCCUUCGCGCUCCUCCGUAGUGAGCCUUUUCCUCCCUGUGGACUUCAGUCCUAGUCUGUCGAGCCUCGUGAUGGAAUCUGAACUGGACUACAGCGGUGCCUCCUUUUCCCAGCUCCUCGCGGACCCCGUGGGGCCUUCCGCGGCGGUGGCGCUGCCCAGAAGGGCGGAGGUGGAGGAGGAUCCGACGAAUGGGGAGUGGAAGAGAGGCGGAAAGGAGGCGGCUUUGAGCCUGGGACAGAGCCAGCCGGCGAUUCCCAUGGUGAACCAGAUGCCGGCGAUCGCAUUUCCUGUCGGAUCAGCCCGUCGACUUUGUUCCCGUCGCCUCUGUCACUGUACUGCAAAAGUAGCUAUGAGUCUUUAUUCAGCUAUGCCCUUAUAAAAUUUUCUUUUCUUGACCUAUAUUAUCUUCAGCUAUGCCCUUAUCUGGUUCUCUUUCAUCAUCUUUGCCGUUCAAAUUAUUUUCUUUCCUGGUGAAAUUACUUGCUCUUCUGUGCAAACACUUCCUUUUCUUAUUCUUUAUUCAGCUAUCAUUUGAUAUUGCAAACUUCCAAUGUUUCUAAGAUUGAACAAGGUACAUAUAGCAGCGUGUUUAUAGCUUCUAAGGUUGAUACAGGGAGGAUUGUUGCCCUAAAGAAGGUGUGUGUCAACAAGUUUGAGCCUAAAAGUAAUAGGUUUAUGGCAAGGGAGAUACAGAUGCUCCACAAGCUUGGUCAUCCAAAUGUCAUCAAACUGGAAGGCUUAAUUACUUCCGGAUAAUCAUGCAGUAUGUACCUUGUUUUUGAAUAUAUGGAACAUGAUCUUGCAGGGCUAUCAUCUUGUCCAGACAUCAAAUUCACUGACCUCAGGUUAUGCACAAUCUUUGAAACUAUUUCCAAUGUAAAUAACAAACAAAAUAUCAUAGAAGAAAGUUAUCCAAGGAUAUGUGUUGCGAAUCAAAUGUUAUAUGCAUUAGUUACUUUCUGGGCUUGAACAUUGUCAUUCACAUGGUAUCAGACAUCGUGAUAUCAAAUGUGCAAACCUCUUAGUUAACAAUGAGGGAAUUCAAGAGAUUGCCUAUUUUAGUUUAGCUAGCAUUUGGAGUCCUGGGACAAAUCAAUCACUAAGUGCUCGUGUUAUGACGCUAUGGUAUCGUGCACCUGAGCUGCUUCUUGGAUCAAUAAACUAUGAGCCAUCUGUAGACCUGUGGAGCAUCGGAUGCGUAGUGGUAGAACUUUUCCUUGGCAAGCCUCUGUUACAAGGAAGAACUGAGGUGAUUUAUCCUAGUAUUACUUGACAAUAUUAGCAUGUUUAUUUAUUCUCACUGUAAUGAUGCUAUUAAUUGUGAGGCAAAAAUCAAUCCUUAUUUAAAUAUCAAUUACUGCAAUAACAAUUGUAAAAGUCAGUACUUAAAAUCAUGUGUCAAUUCAGGGACAUGUAAAUAUCAAACUCUCAUUGAGGUUGUUGGGAACACUUUUAUCUAUUGAGACCAACAAACGUGGCUCAGCUUCUUCUACCCUUAGUUCUCAGGUAGCACUACUGUCGGAUUUAGUCCUCUAGUGAUUUGCAUGUUGAUAGUAUCUUUUUAUUAUUCUGCGUAUGAGACAUUUACAUAAGGCUCUAAUGAUGGUAUCCUCAUCAGUAGAUAGAUACUCUGCAUUCUUACUCUUUACCAUCUGGAAGUAAUUGUAGAACAUCUCUUAUAUGACACUGUCUCCACUUCAUACCAUUUUCCUAUAUGUAAUUCUUGUAGAUGUCCAACUUAUUUAUAAAUUCUGACAGUGUAUGUGAAUGUAUAAUCGUCAGAAUUUUUGUGGGUUGUAUAAAGAAAGAUUAUGUUGUACCAUUUGAAGCUAAAGGAACCUACAGGCAUUGAUGGGUAGUUCCAUAAGGUAGAAAGAUCUGUCAGAAUAAUUGGGAUGUGCAAAUUGUUGAUUGUUUAUUGCAUCAACAUAUUAUUUGAUUUCUAGAUUCCUAUCACUUUUCAAAGGUAUCAAUAGCAGAUUACAUCUAGAGGCUAAAAAAGGUUCUUCAAGACAACAAAGUUCUUCAUGUGGAUCAAAUAGUUUCAUUAAAACAGCAAAUCACAAGGUAUCUCUCUUUCUCUCUCUAUGUCUUCUAGUGUGCAUGUCAAUUAAAUCCAGCAAAUUCGCCCCCGCGGGCUGGAUCAACCGGUUAAGGCGUGGCAUCCUUGCACAAUGAGUUAUAGGGUCGAAGGUCCACGGACGCGCACUGGAUGAAUAAUCUGGGCCGGCUGUGUUAAAUUCCGGAGACACCACGCUUUACCCGGGCCAGCAUUCACCGCUGAUUUACCUCCUCCUAGGAUCCCUGUUGGGCCAAGCCUAGGGGGCCGCUGGGCGGCGGGACCCGCCUUUUGCACAAUUAAAUCCAGCAAAUUCAAACAAGACUGACAUUCAAGAUGCAUAGAAGCAGGCACCAUUCUUUUGUUUCACUUCUAUGUUUCUAAUAGUGUUCAACAAAUGGUCAAAGAAUGAAUAGAAGUGGCAUCAAGCAAGAGAUUCCAGCUGUAAAUGGUGGUACAAAAUUACUUGCUGAUUUGCAGCCAAAUUCCAAUAAUGCAUCCCAAGAUGAGAAUCGACAAAUCAAGCAAACCUCUAGAAAGCUUCCAUUCUCAGGUCUUGUUCUCAAUCUAACAGCUUUGCAUGGACAAAGAAGACAAAAGGUCAAUCAAACAUGAGAUCUCUUGCUAAAUCCAGAUCUAAACAUGACAAAUCAAGAACAUUGGACCCAUCACAUAUUUUGAAGAUUCCAAGUUCUUUUAAGUUGACUGGAGCUGAAAAUGGAGAUCUUGGUUAUGCGCUUAUUUCCGAUUUGAAAGAUAAUGAAUCCUCCGAAUCUGUGAAGGAUGCAAUGCUAAAGCAGUGGAUGCAUUCAGAACUUCAAGACUCAGUAGUUACUUUUGGCACUUUUCAUACUUGUAAUUUGUCAGAAACGACACUUCAUAUGCAAGACACAUCACUCUCAAAAAACAUCUUGGAAUUAAUUCAUCUACUCUUAAUGAUUUAUGUAUUCUGCACCACCUGUUUAUCUUGUGUUUAUCUUUUGACUCAAACUUACAGGAUGUUCAAGAUCAGGAACGAAAAAUUGAGCUGUCCGGACCUCUACUUCAAGCACAAAAAGUUGAUGAAUUCCUCGAUAGUUAUGAGCAGCAUAUUCAAAAAGCGAUUCAGAAAUCAUGGUUUCAAAGAGGUCAAAAGAGUGGACAAUAAAAAUCUGUGAAGCAGACAUUAUUGUUCCAUUUAACUUCACAUUAGGCAAAAGAAAUUAUUACCUUCUACAACUAAAUGAGUGAUCCAGGACACCAGCAGAGGUACCUCAAAUGGUGGAAAUAGUGGACGAGUCUGGAGAGUUGAUAGUAGAGUGCAGGCAAAGCGAUAUGGUAGUAAUUGGCAUAUCCUCAAGUCUUGAUAUUUAUAGAUUUUCCACUUCAAACUCCUAAUGAGUGCCAAGUUUCUAAGGCAUCCGUCCAAGCAGCAAACAUCGGCAAGUGAUCAAACGGCAGUCCUGGCCUUACCUGGUUAGGCAACAUCCAUGUGUUUACUGGGGUAGGACUGAACUUCAGAGGGGUAUCACUAAAGAGCAUGGAGAUAUCAGCCCUAUCAGGACUCCCAUUUCUAGAGUUGCUCAAGCUGGUUACCCGCGGUAAUGGAUGCAUUCCUAUCACAGUGUCCAGAUCCUCAGAAUUCCCUGAAUCACCGGUACUUUGUAUUGAGCUCUCUAGUCCUCCGACUAAGCUGUGGAAAUGGUUCACAAAGGGCUCAGUUGGGUACUCAAUAGUUAUCAGUCUGUGGUUUCCUUCCUCAGAAGCUCUUGAUGUUUGAUUGGGAGACCGGGACAGGGCCACUUUCCAAUCCGAGCUACUCGUGUUGUUUCCGGCAGUCAAAUUUAGCUCUUGAUUGCCACUUUGAGCUAAUGCAGUGACAAUCAGUGGCUCUAUGCCAUUGUUUCUUUUUGCGAGUUCGACCGCCAGAAGGGUGCUACUUGCCAAGAUCUUCUCCACUUCGUAUCUGGAAAUAUCAAAGUUCGUAACAGCAUUCAACCCGCGGAACUUGAUCGCAGCAAUGUCAUAUGCCUCGGCUGCUUCCUCCUGCGUGCCUAACAAUUCAUGCAACUUCAGUGUCUCAGAAACAACAAUGCUUAAGAAAAGAAGAGCUAACUUUUAGCAAAAUAGUUAGUAACAAUUCCUCAUCAAAGUUCGGUGAAUGCUUUCUUAGCUUUUGCUAUCACUUUUCAACUUUGAAAGAUAUGAUUGGUCACACACACAAAGACAUUGUGGCUACUGAAAUAUCAGCCUUGCUAAAAGGACAAGUAUUAGCCGGUAAAGUCUUUCCGGGAGAGCAUGCUUGGGCCCAAAAGCAAUUUUUUUCUUCUUUUUCAGAAUGGUGAAGGAAUCAAUCAACAUGUCUAAGAUUUAACAGCAUUAUCAAUGGAGUACAGAAAUGGUUGUCCCACUUGGACGAUAGAACCAUGCAAACUAUGUUACAUGAAGAACAGAAAGCCAACUGAACCUACAAACUUACUGAAUGUUCCAAGAUAAACAUCUUUGUUUCCUGAAACCCGUCCAAUUCGUGCUUGCCACCUUCCAUGCUGGUGAUGCCUGCAGGUAUGUCCAUGAGUUAAAAGCAAAAGCAAGGAGUAAAACUAAAUGAUUGAUGAAUUCAAAUAGAAGAAGAAGAAGACCUAGUUACACCCCGGUACAUUGAUACUCCUCGCGAAAAACCACUGCUUUUCCUGUGAAUGAGAGGAUAUUUACAUUACAGAUCAUGAACAAUGGAAUGAAGAAGAGUGAUGUUUCAACCUUCUUAGGUGGGCCACAUAUUCCUGCCUAGUCAUGUUCUUCAUUUCUUCAAUCUGUUCUUGGUAAUCUUCCAACUGCUCCAAAUCAUGGCGCUUAGUCAUGAUAUUGAAUCAAUCAAUAAAUCCUUUGACUGCUUACCUGGAAGUUGAUAUGUGUGUUUAUGCCCCAGUACUUCAAUGCAGCCAAAUCAUAGGCUCUCGCAGCUUUCUCUUCCAUAUCAUAACCCCCUGAGAUACAAGGAUUGAAAUGGCGAUAUUCAAUGUACAGACUUCAGAUACAGAAUGACACAAUUUGAACUAGUGAUUGAAGCAUACCCAAGUAAACUGCUUCCAACAAGUUCACCAGUAUUAGAAGCGUACACGACCAAGAAAUGAACAAGUUAGAUGCUAUUAUCCCAAAGAUGAGCUUCAUAUCUUCCAGUCCACCUGUGUCUGUGACAAGUUCACCGUUCAUGGCCAGAAAUAUCAUGAAGUCAGCUUCAUCAGACAGCAUGGCAAAGAACGACGAUGAAUUCGAAUGUGCACUGACCUAGUGACGCCCCUGUACUGGGACGUCCGCUGCCCAAAUGUAUCGAUCGACUUGCGAUGAACAGGAUGCUUUUGGCCGCCUCUAGAUCCUCGCUUUUUACUAGCGUCCGCGAUCGAGUAUUCACCGGCGGUAGCCGGAGAGGCAUGUCGCGGAGCCGUGACACAGCUCGACUGUGAAACAGGGCUCAUGGACAAGCUCAAGGACUGCAAGUCUCUAUACCCCACGGAAGUAACAGGAGCACCGGAGCCCAUCACUACACCACCGCGCACCAAAUCUUUGAGCCCGGAGGAGGAGGAGGAGGCUUCCUCGUCCCUCACAACUCGGCCGGAACUUUCGAGUGGCGGCUGACGCAGCUCAUGGCCGGUCAGCAGAGAAAAGAUGCCGUCUUGGAAGUGCGAGAAGUGGUCGUGAAGCGUGUCUGAGGGAGGAGGGUGAGGGCCGUGGCCUCUUCCGCUGCCGUCUAGCUCUGCUCUGUUCCGGUGGUACGUGGCGCAGUCCAAGCUUAAAGCCAUUGCUGCCCCCCUGCUGCCAUUGCCGCCCCCGUACUGAUGGGUCCCCAUGUUUGGACCACAGCCUAAGAAAUCUUCCAGUUUGGGAGACGGAGAUGCCGCCAUUGCUUCAUUCACAUGAAUGCAACGAGGCAUGAAAACAAUUUGGCACCUCGGCACAAUAGAUUCUUGUCGAAUCAUGCUAAAUAAAGAAAGAAGAACCAAGUUUUGAGACUGACCUUGUUCCAUGAAGCAAAGGGAGCCAUUAGACUUGAGUGGCAUGGAGGUCAGCUGAGAAAAGUCGUACGCGCCUCCAUUCUCUCCGACGCCGUACAUGAAACCAGAGCUCAGUAGGGGAGGGGAGAUGAAGAAGGCUGCAGGCGAGGAGUUAGACUGAUCAGCACCGCUGCUGUUGGUGUUAGUGUUGUGCAUGGACUUCAUCUUCUUCGAUUGCACCAAUGGAAGGAUAAUGGAGGAUGAUUUUUAACCAGAGCCAAAGUGAGGCAGCUCAAUCAUUGGGCAGUACGCAGCGUAAUCAUUCCACCCUUCUUCCUGCUUGGGCAGUUCCUCUUCCAUGGCCGAGAUAUAAGCAGCGAAGAGGGGAGAAUGAAUCCAACAAGUAGAUGAUCGAUAAAUUCCGGUGCUCCUCAUAGGGAUCUGUGUUCUGAGGAUCAUUACUUUAGCUUUUCUUUUUUUCGAUAAUUUUUGUUGGCCAGAAUCUGAUCAGUUAGAAUUAUCUAUGCUCCAAUUAAAAUACAUGCAUGUAUAUACAUGUAAUUAAUGUACAUAGAUGAUAUUAUCAAAAUACCCAUGUGUACACUUGCAUGUA